UGUAGGACAGUAAUAGGUGAUGAAAUUACAUCUUUUGUGCAGAGAUGAAAUUUUUGGUGGAAUUACUGGAUUUCCAGAUGUGGAGCGUACAGUUAUUUGACUUUGCAAUGCUGAUAUGGUAUGUUAGCUAUAUUGAAGAAAAUGCUGAUUUCGGUUAGCCUGAGCACAUGGUCAUGCUAAACAUGGUUGAUGCUAAUAGUUAGCAUUUAGCAUGAUCACGUAUAGUGCUAACUGCAGUUAGUGUUUUCUCUUAUAUGGCCCGUUAAUAGCCAGAAGUGCUGUUUUAUUGUAGCACUGCCCGGUUUAAAUAAUGGAACACUCCACAUCCUUACAUCCCGUAAUCAUCCAAAAACUUUUAUCUUUGUUUUUUUUUUGUUGUUUUUUUCUUGCUGCUUAUUUUGUUCCUUGCUUAUUUUUUGACAGAAAAAAAAAUCACAAGCAUGUAUGGUUUGUGCCAUAUUUUAAACUGACCAAUGUUGUAAAAGUAUAAAAAGAAGCAUUGAGAUUUUUUUUUAUGUUAGCAUUUUUCGCCCAGUUGACCUGGGCUCACUUGAAAUUACAGGAGCACAACCAAACUGUUUGGGUUUUCUAGCCUGAUGAGCAUGUUUUAAGCUUUUUAACUGGAUGCAUUGAAAAAGAGACCUUUAUCUUUAUGUAUGCGUGUAUCGGACGGAAGCCAUGUGGAAUUCUGAUUGUCCUCUUUUUGUUUCAUGAGUGGGUUUUUGUUUUGCACACUUGAGAGCGGGGGUUGGGGGGUGAGUUGUAAAUACUUAAGUCUUGCACAAUGACUCAAAGAUGCAUUCUGCCCUGUGGAUGUUAAACAAUAUGCUUAACCCACUGAGUAAAUUAUUGUACUUUUAAAAAGAAAAAAGAAAUGCAAACAGUCAACACGCUGUUGGGUGUGUGUCUUGUGGUGAUUUUGCCUAUGCAGGAGGCAUCUGGUGUACAAUAUGAAGCUCUGCUAUUUAACUCGUUAUAUUUCCACUAAAAUUGCUGAGAACAAAAACAGGCACUUUUCCAGUAUCCCCCCCCACCUCCACAUCCGGCCGUAAUCUCCUCAUCCGCUCUGUUUUGUUUUAGGGAUGCCUUUCACUCCCUGUAUGAGCUUGCUUUGGGCUUGAUGGCUGUUGGAGGCACAGAAGCUGACCUGACACACCGUACUGUAAACAGCCAACAGGUGCUACUGGUCAAACAAACUCCAUCAAAGGCCAAGAAUUCACAUUGUCACCACCUCAGGACAAUCUUACCUACAAUUCUAUCUGUGUUUAGUGUCGCACGUGUCUCUGCAGCCAAGCCUCUUAGAGCUGGUGCAUAUUUCCAGACAGCUACUACAUCUGUAAGGGCGUCAGUUCUCACUUUCCAUGUACGUAUCAAACCUGACCUUAGGUUUCCCACAAUCCAGAGUAACAUACGUUGCUUUGCCCCUCUUCCAGCUUCAUUGCACUCCAGUUGUAGGCCGUUAUUUCCUGAGGGAGCUGAACCUUGAUACAGUCAACAAGCGUACAUCACAUGGUGACAACAAUGGACUCACAGUUACUAAUCAGUUGAAACUGCAGCAUUUACUCAGCUUUGAGAAACAGUUUUCUUCUUUUUGGGUGAAACAUUUGUCCUUAAAUGUUUUAUAUUUUGUACAUUUGUAUGUAACAUAUCAUGUAAAUAGACAGAGACAGUGAUUUAAUUCAUCUGGAGGAUUUUGUAGUCUUUGUAAAGCCCCAAUAAAUGGUAUUUGGUGUCACACAGGCA